rnacentral:lncRNA from 1 species
UGCCUGUGAAAUGUGAACUCUGAUCUGGACCAAACAAGCAAAGCUACAUUUUGGUUAGUAAAAGAAAAAGAAAAUUUGAAAAAGUAAAAUGUAUCUUUUUCAGCCAAACUGAUUUUGACAGACUUUGAAAGCAAAAGUCAUUUGCACAAAAAAACUGUUACAGAAGUUUCAGAUGACUCAUGUGGCACUGGAAACUACACAGCAGAAAUGAGUCUGAACCUCGGAAAGAGUGUUGAUCCCGGCGAUGCCCUUCCAACCCAGGGCAGCCUGAAGGUGGUUAUUAACCUGAAGACAAACAACAGUCAAAUAAACCUCGCUGUCACAUCCUGCUGUCUGUCCCCAACCAUUCAGCCUGACCUCACCAACUCUACCUGCUGUCUUUUCUCCAGGUUAGCAUCGCAGCCGACGGGUAUCACUCUGCUCCCCAGUGCCUUGUCGACAACUGCCGGCUUCACCAUCAGUCUCUUUCAAAUGAUUAAUUACUCGCUAGUGUACCUACACUGUGAUCUCAGUGUCUGCCUGAGGAACCGCUCUGACUGUGAAAGGGUAAGACUGCCAUGGGUUCACCGUGCAGGGAAGUGCAAUGAAUGCCAAAGAAAGAAAGAAUGAGUGGCUGGGAGUGAUUUAAGCGUAGUGAAUGUGGAUGUGACACUUUAAAAACAUGAAGACAGAUGAGGUGAGUGAAUGGGCUCCUGUGAAUAAAAUGAAGAGAGCAACGAAAGGGUGAAGGUGAGUGAUGUGUUGAAGACGAGGUGCAUCUUAAAUUUCAUGGAUUAAUAAGCUUCCUGAAUUGCAAACGGAGGACGAUGUUGUAG